rnacentral:rRNA from 1 species
CAGUCGCCACGGUAAUACGUAGGGUGCAAGCGUUAAUCGGAAUUACUGGACGUAAAGCGUGCGCAGGCGGUGUUGUAAGACUGAUGUGAAAUCCCCGGGCUCAACCUGGGAACUGCAUUGGUGACUGCAGCGCUGGAGUGCGGCAGAGGGGGAUGGAAUUCCGCGUGUAGCAGUGAAAUGCGUAGAUAUGCGGAGGAACACCGAUGGCGAAGGCAAUCCCCUGGGCCUGCACUGACGCUCAUGCACGAAAGCGUGGGGAGCAAACAGGAUUAGAUACCCCAGUAGUCCCUGUCUCUUAUAC